GCCAGCUCUCCGGCAAAGCCCUCCCGUCCCGCUCCCUCCCAGAGCGCAGCUGGGUGUCGGGCUCCCCUCCCGGCUUUCUCUCCCUCCCUCCCUCCCGCCGCUGCUUUGCUGCCCGGCUUGUUCCCGGGGCUGGUGCCGUCUCCUUGUGCCCUGCCUCCGUCUCCGGCAUGCCCGGGCCUUUGCCCCCCACGGAGGUGUACGCCUCGGAGCGGGUCGUCGUGCUGGUCUCCUGUGUGCUUUCCUUCUUGGGUUCCAGCCUCCUGGUUUGCACCCACGCCCUGUGGCCGGAGCUGCGGACCCGUCCCCGCCAGCUCCUGCUCUACCUGUCGCUGGCGGACCUCCUCUCAGCCCUCUCUUACUUCUACGGGGUGCUACAGGACUUCGACAGGACCUCGUGGGACUGCGUGCUGCAGGGUGCCCUGUCCACCUUCUCCAACACCAGCUCCUUCUUCUGGACCAUGGCCAUUGCCCUUUACCUCUACAUCACCAUUGUGAGGGGCUCGCCCACGGGCACAGGCUUGCUCUGCUGCUUCCAUGUCGUGAGCUGGGGAGUCCCCCUUGGCAUUACGGUGGCUGCUGUUGCUCUGAAGAAGAUUGGCUAUGACGCCUCCAAUGUUUCUGUGGGCUGGUGUUGGGUCAACUUGGAUGCAGAGGAUCGGGUCUUGUGGAUGUUGUUAACGGGGAAAGUUUGGGAGAUACUGGCCUAUGUGACUUUGCCAGUGCUCUACAUCCUCAUCAAGAAGCACAUUAAUAGAGCGCACGCAGCUCUCUCAGAGUAUCGCCCCAUUCUCUCAAGAGCACCUGCAUUUCAGCCCCGGACUUCCAUAGCAGAUAAGAAGUUGAUUCUCAUCCCUGUCAUCUUUAUCAUCCUCCGCAUCUGGAGCACGGUGCGAUUCAUUCUGACCCUCUGUAACUCCCCUGCAGUGCAAAAUUCAGUCCUGGUUGUCCUGCAUGGAAUUGGAAACACGUUCCAAGGAGGUGCCAACUGUAUUAUGUUUGUCCUCUGUACGCGGGUGGUCCGGACUCGGCUGUUUUCCUCCAUUUGCUGCUGCCACUACGAUGAGUUGGACUGGCCUUUGCAAAGAUCAAACGACUGGCAGUGCCCAGAACCCCACAAGAACAAGGAUGUGCCAGGCCCUGAGCGGACGAAACCCCUGCUUUCCAGCACCUGAGCCUGGGCUGCCUACAUCUCAGUGUUGAUUUCUUCUUUCUUGGUAAAGAUCUAGUGUGCGGGAUCAUCCCAGAGUCCCACAGAGGGAGCUAAAGCCUGGGGAAAAGCACGGCUGGAGUGGCUGAGCAAACGGAAGAGGUCCGG